rnacentral:rRNA from 1 species
GACUAGAGUAUGGCAGGGGUAGAGGGAAUUUCUAGUGUAGCGGUGAAACGCGUAGAUAUUAGAAAGAACACCGGUGGCGAAAGCGCUCUACUGGACCAUUACUGACACUCAGAGGCGAAAGCUAGGGUAGCAAAAGGGAUUAGAUACCCCUGUAGUCCUAGCCGUAAACGAUGGAUACUAGAUGUUGUGCUUUAUGUACAGUAUCGUAGCUAACGCGUUAAGUAUCCCGCCUGGGGAGUACGCUCGCAAGGGUGAAACUCAAAGGAAUUGACGGGGGCCCGCACAAGCGGUGGAGCAUGUGGUUUAAUUCGAUGCAACGCGAAGAACCUUACCAGGACUUGACAUACUACAAAUUCUUUUGAGAAAAAGAAGUGCCUUCGGGAAUGUAGAUACAGGUGGUGCAUGGCUGUCGUCAGCUCGUGUCGUGAGAUGUUGGGUUAAGUCCCGCAACGAGCGCAACCCUUAUUUUUAGUUACCAAUUCGUUGGGUUCUCUAGAAAGACUGCCGGUGACAAACCGGAGGAAGGUGAGGAUGACGUCAAGUCAGCAUGCCCCUUAUGUCCUGGGCUACACACGUGCUACAAUGGUUAAGACAAAGAGUCGCGAGCUCGCAAGAGUCAGCUAAUCUCAUAAACUUAGCCUAAGUUCAGAUUGUAGGCUGCAACUCGCCUACAUGAAGUUGGAAUCGCUAGUAAUCGCUGGUCAGCCAUACAGCGGUGAAUCCGUUCCCGGGCCUUGUACACACCGCCCGUCACACCAUGGGAGCUGGUCAUACCCGAAACCGUUUGCUUAACCGUUUGGAGAGCGGCGUCUAAGGUAGGGCUAGUGACUGGGGUGAAGUCGUAACAAGGUAACCGU